rnacentral:misc_RNA from 1 species
GAACUGCGAUACGUAAUGUGAAUUGCAGAACUCCGUGAAUCAUCAAAUUUUUGAACGCAAGUUGCUCUUCUGGGGUCACUCCUGGGAGAAUACCCGUUUGAGUGUUAUCAACCUUUCUCACCUCCAAAAGUUUAUUCUUUUGCUUUGACGGUGGAUAUUGAGAGUCUGGCGAAAGUCAGUCUCUUUAAACCUAAACGCUUGGUAUUGAUUUAUACUGACUUUUCUACCACUGACUGGUAGUUCCGCAAGGAAUAUAUCGUUCAGAUGGCAAAGGGCAUUAUUUUGAUUACUGGGUAUUGCAUUAUUUGAAAUCUCGUUCUUGAAAUUUCUUUUGAACAUAACCUCAAAUCAGGUAAGACUACCCGCUGAAUUUAA